rnacentral:rRNA from 1 species
UGUACCUUAGUUGCUUCGGCGGGCACCCCCUUCAGGGCCACCCGGGGCUCACCACCCCGCUUCCGCGCCCACAGUGAUGCCCUCUAACUCUGACUGAUCUAGUGAAGUCUGAGUUGAUUGGGAUCUCUUGGUUAAAACUUUCAUCAAUAAAUCUCUUGAUUCCGGCAUCUAAUGUGAAUUGCACAAUUUGCUGAAUCUACUGUGAAUUGAACAAUUCCGUGAAUCCUCGGCUCUUUGAACGCCCUGUGUGCCCCAUGGUAUUUGCGGCGGCCUGCCUGUCCUAGCGUGUUUGCUGCCCAUCCCCCCCGGCUUGUGGGUUGGAUCGGCAUCCCCUCUCCCGGGGGGAGUGCCCCAACGUGUGGCGCUUUGUCCCCGUCUCAUCCUCGGCCGGACGGGGCUUUGUCACCCUCUCUGUACGUAUUUUUGGCGCUUGCCCUCGGAUCUCGUUCUUUUCCCCGUUGACCUCAGAUCUAGUAGGGAUACCAGGAAAACUUAAGCAUAUCAAUAAGCGGAGGAA